rnacentral:rRNA from 1 species
AUUGAACGCUGGCGGAAUGCUUUACACAUGCAAGUCGAGCGGCAGCGCGGGGCAACCUGGCGGCGAGCGGCGAACGGGUGAGUAAUACAUCGGAACGUGCCCAGACGUGGGGGGAUAACUACUCGAAAGAGUGGCUAAUACCGCAUACGAUCUAAGGAUGAAAGCGGGGGAUCGCAAGACCUCGCGCGUUUGGAGCGGCCGAUGGCAGAUUAGGUAGUUGGUGGGGUAAAGGCUUACCAAGCCCGCGAUCUGUAGCUGGUCUGAGAGGAUGAUCAGCCACACUGGGACUGAGACACGGCCCAGACUCCUACGGGAGGCAGCAGUGGGGAAUUUUGGGACAAUGGGCGAAAGCCUGAUCCAGCCAUUCCGCGUGCAGGAUGAAGGCCCUCGGGUUGUAAACUGCUUUUGUACAGAACGAAAAAGCUCUUUCUAAUACAGAGAGUCCAUGACGGUACUGUAAGAAUAAGCACCGGCUAACUACGUGCCAGCAG